UACAGAGGUCUCAAGCGUUGUUCGGAUUCAUUGGGCGUAAAGGGUGCGUAGGCGGCGCGGUAAGUCGGGUGUGAAAGUCAAAGGCUCAACCUUUGAAAGCCGAUGGAUACUGCAGGGCUAGAGUCCGGAAGAGGCGAGUGGAAUUCCUGGUGUAGCGGUGGAAUGCGCAGAUAUCAGGAGGAACACCAAUAGCGAAGGCAGCUCGCUGGGACGGUACUGACGCUAAGGCGCGAAAGCGUGGGGAGCGAACAGG
rnacentral:rRNA from 1 species